UGACGGGGGCCCGCACAAGCGGUGGAGCAUGUGGUUUAAUUCGAUGCAACGCGAAGAACCUUACCUGGUCUUGACAUCCACGGAAGUUUUCAGAGAUGAGAAUGUGCCUUCGGGAACCGUGAGACAGGUGCUGCAUGGCUGUCGUCAGCUCGUGUUGUGAAAUGUUGGGUUAAGUCCCGCAACGAGCGCAACCCUUAUCCUUUGUUGCCAGCGGUCCGGCCGGGAACUCAAAGGAGACUGCCAGUGAUAAACUGGAGGAAGGUGGGGAUGACGUCAAGUCAUCAUGGCCCUUACGACCAGGGCUGCACACGUGCUACAAUGGCGCAUACAAAGAGAAGCGACCUCGCGAGAGCAAGCGGACCUCAUAAAGUGCGUCGUAGUCCGGGUUGGAGUCUGCAACUCGACUCCAUGAAGUCGGAAUCGCUAGUAAUCGUGGAUCAGAGUGCCACGGUGAAUACGUUCCCGGGCCUUGUACACACCGCCCGUCACACCAUGGGAGUGGGUUGCAAAAGAAGUAGGUAGCUUAACCUUCGGGAGGGCGCUUACCACUUUGUGAUUCA
rnacentral:rRNA from 1 species